ACAACUGGAAAUUCCAUCGAAUGAUCAUGACUAACACAUUUUUGACCAACUCUCUGCUCUGUACAUUCUUCUGGAUGCCCCAGUUACCGUUUGCACAAAACUAGACAAAGUGAUUCAGAAAAAGCUGUUGUAGAACUUCUCAAAGAGACCAAAUCAAAAGGAGAUCUGUUCAGGUGUUAGCAGAGUUGGAAGGAAAGCUGCUCCUGGGCUCAUGGGGUGUCUCCAGCUUGGUCCAGUCACCUGGGAGAGAUAUGGCAGAUUGAAGACUGUCACGAAUUCUCUAUUCUUCCUCAUUCUGAGAGGUGGAGUCUAAUUUUCUUCUUCUUGAACCUGUCUGGCUCUAGCAACU
rnacentral:lncRNA from 10 species